rnacentral:lncRNA from 13 species
UAACUGAAUAGGUAAAAACCAUCAAGAAAUUUCAAAUUUUCCAGAGAAUAAUUUCAGCAGAGAAGACAGUUCUACAUAUAAGAACUGGAGGCCAAUACCUCAGCAUGUGACUACAAUUGGAAAGACAGCUCUGAAGAGGUGAUUAUGUUAAAAUGAGGCCAUCAAGAUAGACGCUAAUUGAAUCUAAUUAGUGUCCCUAUAAGACGAGAUGAUUUGGACACAUAAAGAGACACCAGGGUUGUACACACGAAAAGGAACAUUCAUGUGAG